UACGUAGGGGGCUAGCGUUGUCCGGAAUCAUUGGGCGUAAGAGCGUGUAGGCGGCCCGGUAAGUCCGCUGUAAAAGUCAAAGGCUCAACCUUUGAAUGUCAGUGGAUACUGCCGGGCUAGAGUCCGGAAGAGGCGAGUGGAACUCCUGGUGUAGCGGUGGAAUGCGCAGAUAUCAGGAAGAACACCAACGGCGAAGGCAGCUCGCUGGGACGGUACUGACGCUGAGACGCGAAAGCGUGGGGAGCGAACAGG
rnacentral:rRNA from 1 species